rnacentral:rRNA from 1 species
GAUGAACGCUAGCGGCAGGCUUAACACAUGCAAGUCGAGGGGCAGCGCGGGAUAGCAAUAUCCUGGCGGCGGCCGGCGGAAGGGUGCGUAACGCGUGAGCGACAUGCCCGUUGCCCGGGGACAACCGGUGGAAACGCCGACUAAUCCCCGAUGGGAUAUUGUGCCGCAUGGCACGAUAUUGAAAGUUACGGCGGCGACGGAUUGGCUCGCGUCCGAUUAGCUGGUUGGCGGGGUAACGGCCCACCAAGGCUGCGAUCGGUAGGGGUUCUGAGAGGAAGGCCCCCCACAAUGGGACUGAGACACGGCCCAUACUCCUACGGGAGGCAGCAGUGAGGAAUAUUGAUCAAUGGGCGGAAGCCUGAACCAGCCAUGCCGCGUGCGGGAAGGAGGCCCUAUGGGCUGUGAACCGCUUUUGCCUGGGGGCAAUAAGGGCGUCGCGCACGUCCGAUGAGAGUACCAGGCGAAUAAGCAUCGGCUAACUCCGU